rnacentral:misc_RNA from 1 species
GGGGAGAUUUAUCGAUAUUGUUGUAAUUCUAUGAUCAUUGACGCGAGUACACAUGGAUAUGGUUGACUGGCAGCACUUUGAAUUACAACAAUAUCGAUAAAUCUCCCCCUCGUUUCUAACUCCUUUGGGGUAGGAAUCACUCGACGAAAAGCUAUUUGAUGAAUAAUAGAUUUACAAGCAAAUCAAAUUCCUAUAUAUACAUCAAUUGAAUCCAUCUGCAGAUCAACCCGAAUAGUAUAAUACCAGGGGAAUCGUUGGUAGAAUGUAUUCAAAGUGAUCAAUGAUAAUACUAUGAAAACCAUCAGAAUCUGUCAAUUAAGAUGAAUUGACC